GCGCCUGUAGCUCAGUGGAUAGAGCGACUGCCUCCUAAGCAGUAGGCCGCGCGUCCGAUUCGCGCCAGGCGCACCA
rnacentral:tRNA from 1 species